rnacentral:lncRNA from 10 species
UCAUGGGUCAAUGCAGUCCUGAACUCCUGGGCUCAAGCAAUCCUUCCACUUCAGUCCCAAGUAGCUAAUACUACUAGCUUACAUUUCUGCCUGGGAGACUUACAAGCGCACAACAGGAUUAAUCCAUCAGCUCUGCUGGGCUGGGAGAGGGAGGGAGCCAGGCGGAGGAAGUAUCAAUGAUACCGCACUCCAGUGAGCACUGAAGAGGCUCCAUUCAUGGACCAACAAAACCUGGAAGAAGCCUCAGACUUAAUCAGCCAAGGAGGCUCCAGCAGCAGGAACAAAAGAAAUCAAAGCUUCACUGGGUGCUGAAAGUAUCUGGAAGAUUCCAUUAUUAUCAGGAUGACUCACAAAAUUUAAUAAUUACUUGUUUUUGCUUUGUUUUGUGUGCCCAUGUUUUACAUGAUGUGACCUUCUGCUGCCCUGUACUAUCAUAAAUUGCAUCUUUCUGAAGGCAGUUCUGAGUAAGUUUGUGUCCAUGAGUAUGUGCUAGCAUUUCAGCUCAUGGGCAU